rnacentral:piRNA from 1 species
UUCACAGAACCAAGGGCUUUCCCUCCUAUU